AUUGUUAGCAGCUAACGUUAGCGUUACCUAGAUAACAGAUGUAUCACCCAAGUCCUGUCUCCAACACGAAUGAAAGACUACCUGGGGGGAAUGAACAGUCCCCUGGCUCUGAUGAAAUACCGGUAAAUACUCUGAGCCGGCACUGGUCUGCGCUGGGGCCGUGGUGGGGUCUUUCGUGGCUACAGAGGACGCUCCAGCCGCUCCAGUCUGGAUGUUUCUGCUGUGCUAUUGGAAUGUCCACAGUGCAAGGUGUUCUACAUUGGACGGACAAAGAGACACCUUCAAGAUCGCUUAGCGGAACACAAGUACGCCAUACCGGUAGGCAAUGAAGAAUACCCCAUGGCAAGGCACUACAAGUCCCUACACCAUGGCAACCCUGCCUCCCUACAAGCUAUGGGUAUUGAUCAUAUUCCGGCCUCUAUUAGAAAAGGGGACCGUCUUAAACCGUUAAGCCAAAGGGAAAGUUUUUGGAUUUACAAACUACAGGCCACUAAAUACCCUGGUUUAAAUGAAGAUAUGGAUUUCUCACCUUUCCUGUAGCGUCGUGAUGGGUCCAUUUGCUGUCAUCUAGUGGACAUUUUGCUCAAUUGCCUUCAGCUAUGGUUUGACUGUUGUUGUUCAUGUUUUGCUAUGUUCUAGUGUACUAUAUAUUGCUUUCUUAUUCUUGACACUUCUCCCAGUCAUAUUUAAGGUUAGAACUACCUUUUAGUGUUCUGAUACUUCUAGCUUGGAGUUGUAUUUUUUUGAUAACAUAGCUACAGUAUUUCACCUUUUAACCUCUAAUGACUCCCCAUCCCGCAUGAGGGAGCAUAAUCAUCGACUGACACUAAUUAGCAUAACGCAACAGACAUAAAUAUUCCUAGAAAAUAUCCAUAUUCAUAAAAAUCACAAGUGAAAUAUAUUGAGACACAGCUUAGCCUUUUGUUAAUCACCCUGUCAUCUCAGAUUUUCAAAAUAUGCUUUACAGCCAAAGCUAGACAAUCAUUUGUGUAAGUUUAUCGAUAGCCUAGCAUAGCAUUUUGUCCAGCUAGCAGCAGGUAACUUGGUCACGGAAAUCAGAAAAGCAAUCAAAUUAAAUCGUUUACCUUUGAUGAGCUUCGGAUGUUUUCACUCACGAGACUCCCAGUUAGAUAGCCAAUGUUCCUUUUUUCCCAAAAUAUUAUUUUUGUAGGCGAAAUAGCUUGUUCUUCACGUUUGGCUGAGAAAUCGCCCGGAAAUUACAGUCACGAAAACUCAGAAUAAUAUUCCAAAUUAGCUCCAUAAUAUCGACAGAAACAUGGCAACGCUGUUUGUAAUCAAUCCUGAAGGCGUUUUUCAAAUAUCUAUUCGAUAAUAUAUCCACCGGGACAAUUGGUUUUUCAGUAGGACCGAUUGGAAUAAUGGCUAUCUCUGUAUUUUACGCGAGAAUCACUCUGGGAGCCAUCAGGUGACCAGUUGCGCAAUGUAGCCGCUUACGGGUAUGCUUCAACAUAAAUGCGUAAAACUAUGUCACAAUGCUGUAGACACCUUGGGGAAUACGGAGAAAAAGUCAUCUGGUUGAUAGCCCAUUCACUGCUCAAUAGGGACGCAUUGGAACCCAGCACUUUCAAAACAUGAGGCACUUCCGGAUUGGAUUUUUCUCAGGCUUUCGCCUGCAAUAUCAGUUCUGUUAUACUCACAGACAAUAUUUUUACAGUUAUUGAAACUUUAGAGUGUUUUCUAUCCUAAGCUGUCAAUUAUAUGCAUAUUCUAGCAUCUUGUCCUGAAAAAAAUAUCCCGUUUAAUACGGGAACAUUAUUUUUCCAAAAAUGAAAAUACUGCCCCCUAGUCACAAAAGGUUUUAAUGUGUAUAGUAUUGCUUACUAGGUGUGUCCAAUCAACUGUGUAACCACUCUCUGUUCCAAUUAGGGCUAAUUGAAAAGCUUUUCAAAAGCACAUUGUAUUCCUUUUUUUUGUACUCAGUUUUUAAAAACUUUGUUUCUACUGAACAUGCCAUACUAAUAAAGGCAUUUUAAUCAAUUA